rnacentral:lncRNA from 1 species
AGUUGCCUCAGUGGAGGCACUCAGCUCGGGUGGUCUCCUGCCCCGUGGGGCAAGCUGGCCGGAGGAAGGAGGUGAUCGCCCGGCGCUGGGAUGCUGUGGAGCAAGGAGAAGGCAAGUUGAGGUUUACUUGCUGGUGGGAUCGCACUUGAAGGUGGAUGAAAUUCAGCUCUGAAGCAGGGGGAGGUCUGGCAAUGGACCUGGCGCGGCUGUUGGUGGUGGACGGAUUGCCGGAAGGUUUGCAUUCAGUGCCUGGUUGAUGCCGCAAGGCUACAAGACUGGCCGAGGGAUGCAAACGGGUUUGGAAGCCUAGUUUGUUUAUUAACAGGCGGACAAACCGAGGAGGGAAGCUGCCCAUUUGGCAGCGGGUGAGUGUCCCUAGGCGAAUUCUGUGGUGAGGGAAAGUUGCCCAUCGGCUUCUAGUGGUGGCGCCUAGGUGAAGCCAGGUUCACAUUUGGGGAUGUCAGUGGAGGCCGAGAGGCCCGUGAAGCUGGCCGAUCCAUUUGUGAACGCUAUCUGGUGACAUUCACCUUUGUCUUUGGCCCUCAACCUAAGGUCAACAGACCUACCUUUUGAGAAUGUCAGCUUGCUGACAUUCAUAGAGCUCUUGACCUUACGUCGACGGCCAAAGCGAGGAGGGAAACUACCCGGCACAGCCCUAGAGGUGGAAACCAGGGAAACCAGUGUAGUCCCAUGUGGAUCUACCACUUCAAACUGGUGACCCUCCACUUCUGCAACCUGCCUUGACGGGGCAGGCCAGUCAGGGAUGAAGUUGUCAGACCAAAGCCUGUGGAAGAGUCUGGGUGGACGCUGUGAUAGUCGCCAUCCCAUCAACGUGUUUGCCUUUGCCUUUCAGGGACAUCCAAUGCCGGCGAGGUUUUCCCCAAGACCAGAUGGUGGCGGCAAGCUGGCAAGUGGAAGGAGGCGAUCGCCUGGCGUUGGGAUGCUGUGGAGCAAGGAGAAGGCAAGUUCCAGUUGACUUGCUAGUGGGAUCGCUACCUGAAGGCGGCCGAUAUUCAGCUCUGAAGCUGGCUUACGUCUGGCGAUGGACCUGGCCAGGCUGUUGGUGGUGGAUGGAUGCCGGAAGAGUUUGCAUUCAGGCUAGCGGAUGCCGCGAGGCUACGCCUGUCGAAAUGGGUGCAAACUGUGGUUUGGAAGCCUAGUUUGUUUAUUAACAGGCAGCCAAACCGAGGAGGGAAGCUGCCGCUAGGGCAGCGGGUGAAUGCCCCUAGGCGGAAACCAGUUGUGAUUUGCAUUUGCAUUUAAAUGAUGUCAGUGAACGCCCUAAGCUGAAGCUGGCUGAUAUUUGCAGGUGUGGACCAGCUGGUGGUGAGGAGGGAAAGUUGCCCAUUUGGCAGCUCGUGGAGGCGUCUAGGUGAAGCCAGUGUUCACAAAUAGACGCCAAGGGAGGCCGCAAGGCUGAUGAAGCUGGCUGCUAUUUGUGGACAUGGCUGGCAUUCACCCAUGUCUUUGGCCCAUCCAUUUAAUGACAAAAGGCCUAGGCCUCUUGACAUUAAACGGAUGGCCAAAUUGAGGAGGGAAGAUGCCCGGCACAGCCAUGGAGGUGCUCAACUGGAGCCAGCGAACUUCACAAAUAGACGCCAGCGGAGGCCGCAAGGCUGAUGAAGCUGGCUGCUAUCUGUCAACCAAAACUGGUUUUCCUUCAUCUCCGGGAGCCUGCCCAUUGCGCAGGCCUGCCAGGGGUGAAGUUGCCAGGCGGAAGCCAGGGGAGUCUGGGUUGACGCUGUCGGAUGGUGGUCACCCCACUCAUCUGUUUGCCUUUGCCUUUCAGGGAUGGCCGGAGCCAGCAAGGUUUCCCCAGAGACCAGCCAUGAAAGUCAUGAAGAGAACCGCAGGACUUAAGCCAGACAGUUCCUGUUUUCUAAAUAAACGGCUUUCUAUUUUUUUUCAAAAUAAAUGUUUUAUGAAAAGAAA